GACUGGAUUGAGCUCCAGUCGUGAUCCUCUAUGGUGCAAUUCGAGGAAAAGACUUGCGGGGGUCCCAUUUAUAUUGGUAACACGUCAGCAAGUUACAAAAUCGCAAUAUUAACGCUACAACAUAAUAAUAAACUACUCCAUUCAGGGAAAUUAUUUUCUUCCUGUUCCAAUCAGUGAGUCUAUUAUAAGCAAAUUUACAUCACUUUCCCGUCAGGUGUUGAAAAAGUAGGGACUAAUCAUUUCUUAACCUAACCUAUCCGGAGCCCGCGCCAAGAAGACGGAAGUAAACUACGCCUACUAGAUCUAGGCUUUACCUUCGACAAAGCAAGAAAAGCCGAGAGAGCUUGGUGCAUUGUGUGGGCCCACAUAACGUUCUCAGUUCCGUCCUGAUAAACCCGGUGCUGUGCGCCUGUGCGACAACUGUUCAUGGAAGGCAGAUAAAUCUAGACAAGUAGUGCAUUAUCCAGCAGAGGCGUAAACAAAACACCUGCAUACGUGUGUUUCAACAAGAGGCAAUCGAUUUUACUUUUCAAAUAUAACAAUAAAAUUAUUCACGUCACGUGCAUAGAACACGCAAAGCAAAACCAUUUGCAUAGCAAUACGGACACAAUCCUCGGGGAAAAAAAAGAAAAAAAAAGACCUAAUACCCAUUUCGGAAGAUCUGUAGAGUUAACUUCAAAGCUCUUUCAAACGAUUUGGCAACUGUGCAGAACCCCCACCCCCCCAAACCAA